UGAGUACGAGAUGCUACGGCAUCGAAGCAGUCUAUGUCAUACUUCCAAGAAAAGCUUGCACUGUCAGAAACAGAUAAUGCCUGUACCAUAACCGACACAGGUGGGUAGGUAGAGUAUACUAAGGGGCGCGAGAUAACUCUCUCUAAGGAACUCGGCAAAAUGACUCCGUAACUUCGGGAGAAGGAGUGCCUUAUUUUUAAGGUUGCAAUAACAAGAUCCAAGCAACUGUUUACCAAAAACACAGGUCUCCGCUAAGUCGUAAGACGAUGUAUGGGGGCUGACGCCUGCCCAGUGCCAGAAGGUUAAAGAAGUCGGUUAGCAUUCGCGAAGCUGGUAACUGAAGCCCUGGUGAACGGCGGCCGUAACUAUAACGGUCCUAAGGUAGCGAAAUUCCUUGUCGGGUAAGUUCCGACCCGCACGAAAGGCGUAAUGAUUUGGAUACUGUCUCGGAGAGGGGCUCGGUGAAAUAGACUUGUCUGUGAAGAUGCGGACUACCUGCACCUGGACAGAAAGACCCUAUGAAGCUUUACUGUAACUUGAAAUUGAAAUUGGACUUUAUUUGCGCAGUAUAGGUGGGAGGCGUUGAAAAUAUUCUUGCGGGAAUAUUGGAGCCAUCAGUGAGAUACCACUCUUGUAAUGUUAGAUUUCUAACUUUAUAUCAUUAUCUGGUUAAAGAACAGUUUCAGGCGGGCAGUUUGACUGGGGCGGUCGCCUCCCAAAUGGUAACGGAGGCGCACAAAGGUUUCCUCUGAACGGGUAGAAAUCGUAUCUAGAGUGUAAAGGCAUAAGGAAGCUUGACUGUGAGACCUACAAGUCGAGCAGGGACGAAAGUCGGUCUUAGUGAUCUGACGGUGCUGAGUGGAAAGGCCGUCACUCAACGGAUAAAAGUUACUCUAGGAUAACAGGCUGAUCUCCCCCAAGAGUUCACAUCGACGGGGAGGUUUGGCACCUCGAUGUCGGCUCAUCGCAUCCUGGGGCGGUAGUACGUCCCAAGGGUUGGGCUGUUCGCCCAUGAAAGCGGUACGCGAGCUGGGUUCAGAACGUCGUGAGACAGUUCGGUCCAUAUCCGGUGUAGGCGUUAGAAUAUUGAGAGGAGCCUUCUUUAGUACGAGAGGACCGAGAAGGACAUACCUCUGGUGUACCAGUUACCGUGCCAACGGUAAACGCUGGGUAGCUAUGUAUGGAGUGGAUAACCGCUGAAAGCAUCUAAGUGGGAAGCCCACCUCAAGAUAAGUAUUCUCA
rnacentral:rRNA from 1 species